GACGAACGCUGGCGGCGUGCCUAAUACAUGCAAGUAGAACGCAGUUGCGAACGGGUGAGUAACGCGUAGGUAACUGCCUGGUAGCGGGGGAUAACUAUUGGAAACGAUAGCUAAUACCGCAUACUACCAGAUGGACCUGCGUUGUAUUAGCUAGUUGGUGAGGUAACGGCUCACCAAGGCAAAGAUACAUAGCCGAGCUGGGUGGGUUGACAGGCACAAUGGGACUGGAGCACGGCCCCGACUUCGUCGGUAGGCAACAGUUGGGGAAUUUCGGAAAUGGGGGGAACGCUUGACGAAGAAAGCAGGGUGGGUGGAAGAAGUUUUCGGGUCUGAAAGCUAUGUUGUUAAGGGAGCGGUACUUAACCAAAAAGGGACGGCUAACUACGUGCCAGCCGCCGCGGUAAUAC
rnacentral:rRNA from 1 species